rnacentral:rRNA from 1 species
UCAGAAUCAACGCUGGCGGCGCGCUUAACACAUGCAAGUCGAACGAGAAAGUGGAGCAAUCCAUGAGUAAAGUGGCGUACUGGUGAGUAACACGUGGGUAAUCUACCUCUGGGUGGGGAAUAACUCUGGGAAACCGGAGCUAAUACCGCAUAAGCCUGUAAAGGGAAAGGCGAAAGUCGCCGAGAGAGGAGCCCGCGGCUGAUUAGCUAGUUGGUGGGGUAAGAGCUCACCAAGGCUGAGAUCGGUAGCCGGCCUGAGAGGGCACACGGCCACACUGGCACUGAAACACGGGCCAGACUCCUACGGGAGGCAGCAGUGGGGAAUCUUGCACAAUGGGGGAAACCCUGAUGCAGCGACGCCGCGUGAGCGAUGGAGCCCUUCGGGGUGUAAAGCUCUUUCGGCAGGGACGAUAAUGACGGUACCUGCAGAAGAAGCUGCGGCUAACUACGUGCCAGCAGCCGCGGUAAUACGUAGGCAGCGAGCGUUGUUCGGAGUUACUGGGCGUAAAGCGUGCGUAGGCGGUGGUCCAAGUCUGGCGUGAAAUCUCCCGGCUUAACUGGGGAGGGGUGCGCCGGAAACUGGACUGCUGGAGUGCGGGAGAAGUAAGCGGAAUUUCCCGGUGUAGCGGUGAAAUGCGUAAUAUCGGGGAGGAAACACCUGUGGGUGUAGACGGCUUUACUGGACCCGCCCACUGACGCUGAAGGCACGAAA